rnacentral:piRNA from 1 species
UCUGUACCAUCUGUUUGUCUUUCCCAG